rnacentral:rRNA from 1 species
UACGAAGGGGGCUAGCGUUGCUCGGAAUUACUGGGCGUAAAGGGCGCGUAGGCGGAUAUUUAAGUCGGGGGUGAAAGCCCAGGGCUCAACCCUGGAAUUGCCUUCGAUACUGGAUAUCUAGAGUAUGGGAGAUGUGUGUGGAACUCCGAGUGUAGAGGUGAAAUUCGUAGAUAUUCGGAAGAACACCAGUGGCGAAGGCGACACACUGGCCCAUUACUGACGCUGAGGCUCGAAAGCGUGGGGAGCAAACAGG